GAUGAACGCUGGCGGCGUGCUUAACACAUGCAAGUCGAACGAAGCACUUUAUUUGAUUUCCUUCGGGACUGAUUAUUUUGUGACUGAGUGGCGGACGGGUGAGUAACGCGUGGGUAACCUGCCUUGUACAGGGGGAUAACAGUUGGAAACGGCUGCUAAUACCGCAUAAGCGCACGGCAUCGCAUGAUGCAGUGUGAAAAACUCCGGUGGUAUAAGAUGGACCCGCGUUGGUUUAGCUAGUUGGUGAGGUAACGGCCCACCAAGGCGACGAUCCAUAGCCGAGCUGAGAGGGUGACCGGCCACAUUGGGACUGAGACACGGCCCAAACUCCUACGGGAGGCAGCAGUGGGGAAUAUUGCACAAUGGGCGAAAGCCUGAUGCAGCGACGCCGCGUGAGCGAAGAAGUAUUUCGGGAUGUAAAGCGCUAUCAGCAGGGAAGAUAAUGACGGUACCUGACUAAGAAGCACCGGCUAAAUACGUG
rnacentral:rRNA from 1 species